AAUAUUGGACAAUGUGUGAAAGCCAAAUCUAGCCAGGCAGCGAGAGUGAAGAAGGUCNNNGGAAANACAAGCACUUUUUGGAANGACNAAGGGCCGGAAGUUAAUACCUAGCUGUUCUGACGUUACCAACAGAAUAAAUAUAGGAAAACUCCAUGCCAGCAGCCGCGGUAAUACGAAGGGUGCAAGCGUUAAUCGGAAUUACUGGGCGUAAAGCGCGCGUAGGUGGUUCGUUAAGUUGGAUGUGAAAGCCCCGGGCUCAACCUGGGAACUGCAUCCAAAACUGGCGAGCUAGAGUACGGUAGAGGGUGGUGGAAUUUCCUGUGUAGCGGUGAAAUGCGUAGAUAUAGGAAGGAACAUCAGUGGCGAAGGCGACCACCUGGACUGAUACUGACACUGAGGUGCGAAAGCGUGGGGAGCAAACAGG
rnacentral:rRNA from 1 species